CGCCUAAACCCUAUUUUAUAGGGCAUGGCGUAAAAUCCCAUCGAAGAUACCGAGCUCCACGUUCGGCAAACUCUUCGAUGGGUUGCACUCCGAAAGGCGUGCAAGGGCGAAAGCCCU
rnacentral:sRNA from 1 species